CCCUUAGAUGUUCUGGGCCGCACGCGCGCUACACUGAUACGUUCAACAAGUUCCUUGGCCGAAAGGUCUGGGUAAUCUCCAAAUUUCGUCGUGAUGGGGAUAGAUUAUUGCAAUUAUUAAUCUUCAACGAGGAAUGCCUAGUAAGCGCAAGUCAUCAGCUUGCGUUGAUUACGUCCCUGCCCUUUGUACACACCGCCCGUCGCUCCUACCGAUUGAAUGGUCCGGUGAAGCGCUCGGACCGCGGCCUCUUGACGGUUCGCUGUCGAUUGGCUGUGGGAAGUUCGUUAAACCUUAUCAUUUAGAGGAAGGAGAAGUCGUAACA
rnacentral:rRNA from 1 species